GGAGAAAAUUUCAAAUGAUGUAAAUACAAAUACAGUUCCAAACCUAGAAAGUUUCAGCGGACCAGUAACAAGAUCAAAGGCAAAGAAGCUUAAAGAGUUGCUCCAAAGUUUUUACUCAAAAACAUGUGGAUGAUGGGCUGGCCAAUUGUGGAAAGUUCAAAUAUGAGCUUUUUGAACAGCCCAAAUUCGUAACUUUACUUGGAUUUAAGUGAUUUGGGAUAAUUUGG
rnacentral:lncRNA from 1 species